rnacentral:ncRNA from 1 species
AAACCGAAAGGGCAAAUCUUGAGCAAUCAAGAGACGCAAAGUUCCAGUCCGGCACAUGCUUCAAAGAAUGUUCUGAGUAACGCGAGCGAUAUUGGGUAGAAGAGUUUGUACUCAGAGCGAAAACAUUUGAGAAAAUCAUGUGACGGAGGCUGAACUGCCGAU